rnacentral:lncRNA from 1 species
AACUGCCUAAGCCGUGGCAUGCUUUUGAAACUCACUAUUUUAAUCAAACAAAGUGAACUGGCAGAAUGUUACUAUUACCAUAUGUGUUCUUUGACUAUCAUACAUAAGGAAUUUAUUAACUAAGCUACAACAAGAUGUUCAGUUCUACAUAAUCAAACGCCUACAUGAUACUAAUAGAUGAAGCUAACUAAUGUACAUACACAACAAAAUUCAAAAUAUAACUAAGAUAAAUUCAAAACUCCAACUUUUCGUUUCAUAUUCAUGCUUCAGUUUUUAUUCUACAGGAACCAAUGUAUCAAUUUGUGUACCUGGUAUUUGGAAGGCAAGGAAAAAGAGGAGAUCAGUGAUAGCAGCAGUAUGCACACACAGCAACAACAGUUCCAGCAACAACUGCAAUAAACAAAUAUCAAACAAUAGCAAGAAUCCCAGGAAAGUUUUGAAAACAAGCAGGAACAACCCAGGAACUUUCAAACCCAACAGAAAAUGCAAGAAAUACCACACUAAAAGACCCAGUAAUACCCGAAAUGCCUUCACAGUCGAAGUAAAAAAUGAGGCAGAAACAAGAAAGCAGUAUUUCUAAUUGUGAGCACUUAAAGAAACAAACUGAAACUCUUGAAGUAAAGCUCAGCCAAACACUCACUUAAGUUUUGGAAUCCUAAUGCGCAAAUUUCAGUCUUAAGAUAUUAAGUUCUGAUAUUAUGCCUUCAAAAAUCUGUUAUAACUCACUCCUCAAAUCUGAAAUUCUCAAAGUCUCCUCCUUUCUUAAACUUAUUUCUCUCUAUUUAUAGGCCAACAUUUUCUAUUCAAAACUUUUCUUUUCAGCGUGUAUAUUCCCUCCCCAUGUGCAUUUAUACCCCUUUAUCAUUCAACCCUUAAUGUUUCUGAUUUCCAAUUAGGAAAGGUAUUUAAAAGAAAUGUCAGCUUUUAAUUCUUUAUUAAGACCCCAUGUUAUUUGUGAUUUCCAACUAGUAAACCACUUAUUUUGUUUUUUAAUCCCAAAAGUAUAUGGCCAGCUUGAAUAUUAAAUUCAGGCGUGCCUGGCAAUACAUGGUCUUCACUCAACCCCCUAACCCUAUGUUUACUAGUCUAAAACUACCUCUAUAUAAGCUUAGAUUUAAAACUGAUUUUAGGUUAAGCUUACAGAUUACUUACAACUAUAUCCAAUUCAUACUAAGAGCAAUCACUUAUUCAACUCAAUCAAAUCACAGAAGUGGUGUUGAUCAGAUGGCCUGAGUUGAUCAUAUUGGGAGCCAAUCCUUACCAACUCAAAGCCAAAUGAGCAAAAAAGGCAACAACUAUUAAAGGCUCAGAUCAAAGCAGAAAUGAACAUGCUUGUUGAUACAAGUCUCAACACAUGACAAGAGAAGCAUGCUAGAAAUUAACUGGAAUGAACAAUUCAUGAUUCUCUAGUUUUUUCAGUGCAUUCAGUUGACAACAUUCAAUUAAUUGACUAUAUGAACUGCAACAGAUAGCUAACAAUCGAUAAUCAAAAUACAUCAAGCAUGUUAGAGGAUUUCAGUGACUUCAGCAAAUAACCUAAUGUGAACUAACUAUUUUGACGAUUUAAUCAAGCUAAACACCUUCUUAAUCACAACAGGUACGACUAAUAAAGAAAUAGAAGAAAUGACAAAAUAAAAGGUAUUAUGGAGAUGGACAGAAUUGAAAGAAAAAUAACUUAAAAAUCAAACAAAAUAACUAAAAAUGCAAACAAACACAAAUAGAACACAAACAAGAGCAGAAGGAGAAGAAUAAAAUACCUUAGAAGCUUAGAAAAGAGACGACCCCUGUUCAAAUUGGACCUGAUCUCUUUGAGUUCGAACGAACUUUAAUCGAACCUUUCUCACCCGAGAACACCUCGAUUAAGGUCUAUUAGACCCCAACAAUUUGAUAAUUAGGAUAGACUCUCAUGGAUUUGUGUUCUAGGGUUCAAACAUUCGAUUUAGGGCUUGAAGGUUUCUGGUUUGAUUCGGACCAAACCAUCGUUUGUAAAGAUAUGAGGGAGGUCAAGGGAUAGGUUAGGGUUUUGCUCGAAUCUUUAAAUGAAGAUUCCAGACGAUGGGCAUUGAUUCAAGGUAAAAGGCUUGUGGAUACGUAAUCAGAGUGUGAAGGUGGUUCUAUGGUGUUAAGAUGGUGGUCGGCGGCGUAGUUGCCGCCGGGUUUCAGGCGAAUGGGAGCUAUGGCGGCUAGGGUUUACAGGUCUCGUCUCUGAGUUGAGAGAGACGAAGUGGGAGGGGUGUGCUUGGUUAUGGGGGACGAGGGGUGAGAGACAGAGGCUUAUAUAGGGGGUAGGGGGAUUUGAUCCUGGUCGUUGGAUCAAGAAUGAUCGACGGCCAAGUUCUUUCACUUGGGUGAAACGAUGUUGUAUAAUUCCAGUGAGACUGGGUUGGUUUCUAGGGUUAAGUGGGUCGGGUAUCUGGGAAAGCCUCAAGUCGUUGGGUUAGAUGGGAUGAACAACUUAGAUCAAUUGUAAUCAUGCGGUAUCGUUUGGAUUAAUGAAAGAACUAAACUGUACAGUUAGAUUUGACUGAUUAACGGUCCAUAUUAAAAGCAUCCAAACGACGUAGUUUGGGGGACGUUUGGGGGACGGUUUAGAGACCUGGUCCUAGACUAGGUUAUUGCACACAUUGAGCCUUAUCUUUUGGUUUAAUAAUGAAGACCAACUCCAACAUUUUCUUAAAUUUUUUGCACUCUUUUCCUUCUUUUAGUUAACCAAACUAACAAAAAUCCGAAUAAAAAUGUAAAAUAAAAAUAAAACUACAAAAUAUUAAUUAACACUUACAACAAGUAACACACACAUUAAAUCAUUCAAUUAAGAUAAAAUCACCUAGUGACAAAAAAAAUAGAAUAAAAAGGCAUAUUUUGUGAUUUUAUUUUUAACAACCAAAUUGUGGUUCAAUUAAAUCCUAAAUGCAUAAUUAAAUCCUAAAUAUGCAUGCAACAUGUAUUUUUUUUCUUUUUUGUAUUUUUUAAUUAACCACAACAAGGUAAACAUUUACGGACGAAACAAUUAAAAAAAUGUCACACAAAUUCUCAAAAAUUGUACCCGAAUGUAACUUGUUUUAUUUUUUGAUUUCUUUUUGAGUAAUAUCUGUGAAGCAAAAAUCACGUGCUCACAAGUUUCACCAAGACUUUCACUACUACAUUCGGCGGUGCAUCUACUAAGAGUUCCCAUGAUUAUCUAGACAAUUGUCAUGACGUUCUCAGGGACAUUGGGAUCGUGGAGACCAAUGAGGUAGAUUUUGCUACAUUUUGCUUGUCUGGAUCUGCCGAGACCUGUUGGAAAUAUUAUUGGUUGGCUAUACUUCUAGGUCAUCAACUUCGACUUUGGAGCAAUUAUCAGAGUUUUUUCUGGAGAAGUUUCUCCCCGUUACUCAAAGAGAAGCCUAUUGGAGGAAGUUCGAGCGUCUCCAGGUUCUAUGAAUGGUACUCAGUACGAAACCUGAUUCAUCGACUUGGAUCGUCAUGCUCAUACCAUGCUUCCCACUGUGAGAGAGAGUGAGGAGGUUCAUUGAAGGACUCGUCCAGCCCGCUCAGUUUGUUGGGGGUAGAGGUAGAUGUAUUAGAGGUGGAGGUAGAAAUGGUAGAGGUUGAGGGGAAGGCAUUAGAGGUGGAGGUGCAGGUACUAUUCUGGUUCGUAGCAGAGAAGCUUCGGUUUAUUGUUUUGCCGCAUCUGGUCAUGCAUAGUAGUUCUUUGAGUGCCCCUGUUAAUGUGUCUAUGCCGGUGGGUGAUUUUACUGUGGUGGAUCGUGUCUAUUGAUCAUGUAUAGUUGUGAUUGGAGGUCUUGAGACUCGUGUAUAUUUGUUUCUCUUGGACAUAGUCGACUUUGAUCUUAUAUUGGGGAUGGAUUGGUUAUCACCUUACCAUGCUAUCUUGGAUUGUCAUGCCAAGGCUGUGACCUUAGCUUUACCAAGUUUGCACCUUUAGAGUGGAGAGGGAUUCCAGGUCAUUCUACCCGCUAUGUUAUCACGUAUGUGAAGGCUCGACAUAUGGUCGAGAAGGGGUUUUUGGCUUAUUUAGAUUAUGUUCGUGAUUCCAGUGCUGAGGUUCCCUCUAUUGAUUCUGUGCCCAUGGUUCACGAGUUUCCUAAGGUUUUCCCUUCAGACCUGACGUGUACGCCACCUCACAGGGAUAUUUAUUUUUGCAUUGAUUUGUCUCCGGGCACAUAGCCCAUCUCUAUUCCUCCAUAUCGCAUGGACCCACAAGAGUUGAAAGAGUUGAAGGAGCAGUUGCAAGACUUGCUUUAGAAGUUUCAUUAAGCACAGUGUGUCACCAUGGGGUGCGCCGGUGUUGUUCAUAAAGAAGAAGGAUGGUUCGAUGAGAAUGUGCAUUGAUUACCGGCAAUUGAACAAGGUUACAAUCAAGAAUAAGUAUCCACUGUCGAGGAUUGAUGAUUUAUUUGAUAAAUUUUAAGGUGCCAAGGUAUUUUCAAAGAUAGACUUGAGAAUUGGCUGACAUCAAUUGAAGUUUAGGGCAUCCGAUGUCCCUAUGAUAGCUUUCCAAACUUGGUACGGACAUUAUAAAUUCUUGGUCAUGUCUUUUGGCUUAACAAAUGCCCCAACAGCUUUUAUGUAUCUGAUGAACCAUGUUUAGGGCUUAUUUAGACUUGUUCGUGAUAGUCUUCAUUGAUGACAUAUUGAAAUACUCCCUUAUCCAGGAGGAGCAUGAGCAGCAUCUCAGAGUGGCUCUUCAGACUCUGAAAGAUAGUCAGUUCUACGCAAAAUUUAAAAGUGUGAGUUUUGGUUGAGUUCAAAUACUUUCCUGGGUCAUUUUGUUAUGGCGGAGGGUAUUCAGGUUGAUCCAAAAAAGAAUGAGACAGUCAAGAACUGGCCUAGACCAACAUCAGCUACAGAGAUCCGGAGUUUCUUAGGAUUGGCAGGUUACUACGGUUUGUGGAGGGAUUUUCAUCUAUUACAACCUCGAUGACAAGAAUGACCCAGAAUGGUGCCCAUUUCAAAUGGCCGUACGAAUAUAAUGCGAGCUUUCAGAGGCUUAACACAUCUUUGAGUACGACACGGAUAUUAGUUUUGCCCGCAGGUUUAUGACCUUAUAUAGUCUAUUAUGAUGCUUCCCGUAUUGGAUUUGGCGCAAUGUUAAUGUAGGAUGUCAAGAUCAUUGCCUAUGCUUCGAGGCAGUUGAAGAUUCAUGGGAAAAACUAUCAUGUGCAUAAUUUGGAGGUAACAGCCAUUGUUCACGCAUUGAAAAUUUGGAGGCAUUAUUUGUAUGGCAUGGCAUGUGAAGUGUUCACUGAUGACAAGAGUCUUCAGUACUUGUUUAUGCAAAAGGAAUUGAAUUUGAAGCAGAGGAGUUGGUUGGAACUAUUGAAGGAUUAUGACAUCACUAUUUUAUAUCACCCAAGAAAAGCCAAUGUGGUGGCAGAUGCUUUGAGUAGGAAGUCAACCAGUAUGGGCAGUCUUGCUUAUAUUCCAGUCAGUCAGAGGCCACUUGUUUUGGAUGUUCAUGCUUUAGCCAACCGAUUUGUGAAGUUGGAUAUUUCUAAGCCUAGUUGGGUAUUAAUUUGCACUAUCUCUCGUUCUUCACUAUUGGAGUAUAUCCGUGAUCGGUAGUUUGUGUUUCCCGUUUAUGUGUCCUUAAAGACAUGGUGCAACGAGGACGUGCCAAACAGGUUAAAUUAGAUACUGAUGGAGUUUUAAGAUUUCGAGGGCGAGUUUGUGUGCCAAAUGUUGAUGGGCUUCGAGAAUUGAUUUUAGAGAAGGCCCACAGUUCCCCGGUAGUCUAUUCAUCCAGGCACCGCAAAGAUGUAUCAGGAUUUGCGGCAACAUUAUUGGUGAGCGUAGAAUUAAGAAGGAUAUUGUGGGAUAUGUGGCACGGUGUUUGAAUUUUAGUAGGUUAAGUAUGAGCAAAAGAGGCCUGGUGGAUUAUUUUAGGGGAUUGAGCUUCCCCAGUGGAAGUGGGAGUGUAUCACUUUACUGGACUCUCGUUGACUAGGAAGACGUUUGAUACGGUUUGGGUCAUUGUUGAUAGGUUGACCAAGUCGUCGUAUUUCAUUCCUGUGGCAUUCUCUUAUUCAUCCGAGAGGUUAGCUGAGAUUUAUAUCCAGGAGAUUGUUCGCCUUCAUGAGGUGCCGAUAUCUAUCAUCUCGGAUCAAAGUACGUAGUUUACCUCGCAUUUUUGGAAAGUAGUUCAGCGAGAGUUAGGCACCCAGGUGCAGUUGAGUACAACAUUUUAUCAUCAGACGGACGGGCAAUCCGAGCGGACCAUUCAGAUAUUGAAGGAUAUGCUCCAAGCUUGUGUUAUUGACUUUGGAGAUUCGUGGGAUCAAUUCUUGCCCUUAGCAAUGUUUGCCUACAACAACGGCUACCACAUAAGUACCAAGAUGGCUUCUUAUGAGGCUUUAUAUGGUAGGAGGUGUCGAUCUCCGGUUGGAUGGAUGGAGCCGGGAGAGACUCGGCUGUUGGGUAUAGAAUUGGUGCAGGAGGCCUUAGAAAAUGUUAGAAUCAUUCAGGAUAGGCUUCAUACAGCUCAGUCCAGGAAAAAGAGCUAUGUAGAUCGUAAGGUUCGAGAUGUAGAUUUCAUGGUUGGUGAGCGAGUAUUGCUCCGAGUGUCGCCUAUGAAGGGCAUGAUGAAGGGAAAUCUUAGCCCUAGGUUCAUUAAUCCGUAUAAGAUUCUUGAGUUAGUUGGAGAUGUGGCUUAUAGACUUGCAUUGCCUCAAAACUUAUCAGCAGUGCAUCCAGUUUCUUAUGUGUCCACGCUUCGAAAAUAUCACGGCGAUCCAGCCCACGUGCUAGACUUUCAACACUAUCCAGUUGGAUAAGGACUUGUCUUACGAGGAGGAGCCGUUGGCUAUUUUAGACCGGUAGGUUUGUCAAUUGAGAUCCAAUAGUUUUCCUUCUAUUCGUAGUCAGUAGAGAGAUCAGCCUCUUGAGGCUUCGACCUGGGAGCCUGAUUCCGAUAUGCGGAGCCGUUAUCCUCAUUUAUUCCGCGACUCACGUACUUCUUUCUUCUGUCCGUUCGGGGACAUACAGUUGUUUUAGAGGUGAAGAAUGUGACGACCCAAAGGGGUCAUCACUUAUUAUCUUAUCCAUUCCGAGCUUUCGAGGUCUUGAAAACCAUAUUUAUAGUCGCCUCGAUUUGCAUGCACAUUUGAGGCGCGUAGCCGGAAGCUCAAAUAUGAAAUUAUGUGAAAGUUUUGUAAUUUUUAAUAUUAAAAUGAAUAAAUUAGACUUCGGUCAACAUUUUAAGUAAACUGACCCGGACCUGUAAUUUGACAGACCUGGAAGGUCCGUGGAAAAAUAUGGGACUUGGGCGUAUGCCCGGAACCGAAUUUCGAGGUCCCAGGCUGGAGAAAUGAUUUUUUGAGUAAAAUUGUUUUCCAAAAAUAUUUAAGGAAAAUAAAAAUGAAAUUUGAUUAAAAGUGAUGGUAUCGGGCCUGUAUUAUUAUUUCCGCCGCCCGGUACAGGUCUUAUAUGUGGUUUAAGCGCUUUCAGUAAAAUAUGGUUGAAAAUAGACGUCAUUUGACGUGUUUCGGAUUUAAAGUCCUAAAAAAGUUUAUGAAAUUUGGAAGAAAUCAUGGAUUUUAAGACUUAAUUCAUUAUUUUUGAUGUUAUUUUUGCGAGUUGAUCACACAGUUAUGUUCGUAGGAUGUUUUUGAGUUAGUAUACAUGUUUGGUUUGGAGCCUCGAGGGCUCGGGUGAGUUUUAGAUAGGUGUCGGAGUGCUUUUGACUUAAGAAAUGCAGCAGAAAUAACUCUUGGCUGUUUUCCAGAUCCUUCUAUACGAUCGCUUUCUACCCUCCACGAUAGCAUUGAAUAAUGUCUCAACAAUAUUUUUCCUUCUACGCGAUCGCGUGUAUCCUUGCACGAUCGGAAUGCCAAAAAAUCUCACACUACGCUAUCGCAUACUUGCUCCCGCGAUAGCAGUGCACCUCGUACCUUAACCUAUGCGAUCGCAAUCCCUUCUUCGCGAUCGCAUAGAGUAAAUUCUGUCCAGUUCUUUAAAGUCCCAAAAAAACAGAACGUUUACGGGAUCUUCACAAUAUUUCACAAACCCUAUCUUAUUCAAAGCUCUUGGACGAUCCUUGGAGCAUUUCUUCACCAAAGUUUCUUUAGUAAGUGUUUUUAAUUCGUUUUCUUUAUUUUCCAUCAAUAUCUUUGAUUUCCUGGGCCUAAAACAUAUGAAAAUAGGUAGAAAUUAGAGAAAUGGGUAGGUUAGAGCUUUUUGAAUUUCCUUGAAUUAGACCUCGUUUUGGGGUCAAAUUUGCAAGCAAAUUAUAUAUUCAGACUCGUUGGGUGAUAGGAAUUUAGUUCGAACCUCCUGUUUUGAACAAGUGGGCCCAAAGUCGAUUUGUGAAAGAAUGUUUAGAAAAUUAUAUUUAGGCAUUUGAAUUGGAUUGUUGAGCAUUUAUUGAUGAUAUUAAAUCAAUUGUGUAUGGAUACGAUUGAAUUGGAGCCAAAUUUGAAAGGAAAAGUGGUGCUUAAGGAUUGAGUUGGCCGUAGAACUAUGAGGUAUGUGUUUGGUAUAACCUUAGCUUGAGGGAACAACCUGUCACCUUACAUUUGAACAUUGUGAAUUAAAAUAAACUUCCUAAAGGCUUGCCUACCCAAAUGUGGCCGGCCUAAAUAUGCUACUAGCGAUUAAAUAUAAUAUAAACCGUAAAAUAUUUCUAGUGCUCAGACUUCCUUAUAAUUUUUGGACUCCCAAUCUCCACGGUCUAACAUCGUCUUAGUAUCCAUGCCACUAAUAAAUCUAAUUAAUUUUGUUAACUUAGUUCUACUGUCAUCAAAGUGUUAAUUCUAAAGCUUAUAGUUCAAUUAAGGGAAGUAGUAGAGAAUCAAAAUUUAUUUUAGCCAUUAAACCCAUCCAAGCAGGGAUUAAACCAAUGGUUAAUAACAAAUUCAGUCAACAAACAGUAGAACAUCAUUAAAAUAGAGCAAUGAACAUCCAAACAAAUGGGGAAGUGAUAGAUUAACGAAGUGAUUAAGUACAAACAAUAUGUAAGGGAGGAAGAAAUAAACCUUACUGGCGAAAGUUUCUUCCAGAUUAGAGAAAGUCUAAAUCUACAGUAUUGUCUGGAUGAAGAGCAACAAAAAUUCAACAACCAAAUUGAGUAUUCACGGGAAAAUCAACAUGAGCGCUAAUCGGACCUCGAACACCGACCUAAACCAGCUCCAUCUCAGUAGCGAAACUCAAACCUGACAUCAGAAAUGAGCUGAAAGCCGCCUGAGAUUUGACUAUUUAUAGCAGAAAAUCUUGGGCUUGAGUUUUGAGCAAGAUUUAACAAUUCAAAUUAAUUGUAAAUAGCCCAAAUCUGAACGUUGGGGAUUCAAUUUCAAGUGACUUGGCUAUAUUCUGAAAGGGGUUGUCCUGGGUGACUGGUCCGUUGGUAACAGCUGUGCGAUUUUUUCUGGUGAGUACGUUGGAAAGGGACUAGGGUGCGGUAGCUCAGGUGUAUGGCUGGUCCAACGGGUUAAGGUUGAGGAACAGGUAGUCGUAGUUCGCUGGGGUUAUGAUUUAGGUGGUAUUUCCGGCGAUUUUUGGUUUUUAGCGGUGGUGGUUAUUGAGCUGAAGCUUUUUGACUGCAAAAAUGGCUGAUAGUUUUGUAUUGCAGGGCUGAAGAAGAUGACGAGGAAUGGGGGGAGGAGUCGCUAGGCUGAUGGAAGCUAGCUCGAUAUGGUAGGGCGGAGAUAGGGUCGUUUGGGGUGAAGUGAAAGGAGAGAGCAGGGGUCGUUUGGGGUGAACGGCGCUGGAUUGUUUAAUUCACGCUCGGUCUCGUUAGGGGUGUGGGGAAUACUGCGCUUUAUUUUUAAAGAAGAAGAA